UCUGUGAGUGUUUAUAGCCCUGUGACUUUAACACUUCAUGACUGAGAGCUGCUGCUCAGCGACUUCACCCACAGAAACCAUGAGUUUGAUCAGCGUCUUCAUCUGCACACUGCUCCUCUGUGCUCAAGGAUCCCAAAGUCAGGCCAUUGUGACUCAGAGUCCUGCAGUGAAAUCUGUUUCUCCAGGAGACACAAUCACCAUCAGCUGUAAAACCAAUGUUGCUGUUGAUAAUGACUGUGAUGGUAAAUAUGACUGUUUGUACUGGUUUCAGCAGAAACAUGGAGAAGCUCCUAAACUCCUGAUCUAUAGGGCUAGUACUAGAGCAUCAGGUAUUCCAGAUUGAUUCAGUGGCAGUGGAUCUGGAACUGAUUUCACUCUGACCAUCAGUGGAGUCCAGACUGAAGAUACUGGAGAUUAUUACUGUCUAACUAAUCAUUACAACGCAUUCAAAACUUAUAC